rnacentral:tRNA from 1 species
GUCACUAUAAUUUAACUAAAAUACUAGAAUGUGAACCUAGAAAUAGAAGCUAAUCUCUUCUUAGUGACC